AAAAAAUUUGAUUUUAGUUUAUGGGUUGGGUAUUAUUUUUUAUUAUAUGUAAAUUUUCGUUAAAAAGUAUUUUGCAGUAAUUAGAUUUAAGUAUUCAAUAAAUUGAGACUUAGGGAUAAUAAAUAAUAUAAACUAAAUUUGUGCCAGCAGUUGCGGUUAUACAAAUUAUAUGACUCAAUUUUAUUAAUUUUAAUUAGUUUGAAUUAAAAAAUUAUAAGUUAAAAUUUAUUAAGUGAAAUUUUAAAUUUUAUAUAAAUUUUAUUAGUUAGCAUUUUAAAAAAUUUUAUGAACAGACUAGGAUUAGAUACCCUAUUAUUAAAAAUGUACCUAUAAAAAUUAAAUUAGUAUUAGUUAUGUUCUUGAAAAUUAAAAAAUUUGGCGGUAUUUUAGUCUUUUCAGAGGAACCUGUUUUAUAAAUGAUAGUCCACGAUUUAAUUUACUUUUAUUAUUAGCUUAUAUAUCGUCGUAGUUAAAUAUUUUUAAAGAAUUUAAAUAUUUAUAAUUUUUUUUAAAAAAAGAAUUCAGAUCAAGGUGUAGUUUAUAUAAAAGUAAAAAUGGGUUACAAUAAAUUUAUUUAGGGAUUAUUAUUAUUAAUAUUAAUUUGAAUAUGGAUUUGAUAGUAAUUUUAAUUAAUUAAUUAAAAUGAUUUAGGCUCUAAAAUAUGUACAUAUUGCCCGUCGCUUUCAUUUAAAGUGAAAUAAGUCGUAACAAAGUAGAUUUACUGGAAAGUGUAUCUAGAGUCAA
rnacentral:ncRNA from 1 species